CGGGUGAGUAAUGUCUGGGAAACUGCCUGAUGGAGGGGGAUAACUACUGGAAACAGUAGCUAAUACCGCAUAACGUCGCAAGACCAAAGAGGGGACCUUCGGGCCUCUUGCCAUCGGAUGUGCCCAGAUGGGAUUAGCUAGUAGGUGGGGUAACGGCUCACCUAGGCGACGAUCCCUAGCUGGUCUGAGAGGAUGACCAGCCACACUGGAACUGAGACACGGUCCAG
rnacentral:rRNA from 1 species